AUUGAACGCUGGCGGCAGGCCUAACACAUGCAAGUCGAGCGGAUGAAGGGAGCUUGCUCCUGGAUUCAGCGGCGGACGGGUGAGUAAUGCCUAGGAAUCUGCCUGGUAGUGGGGGAUAACGUCCGGAAACGGGCGCUAAUACCGCAUACGUCCUGAGGGAGAAAGUGGGGGAUCUUCGGACCUCACGCUAUCAGAUGAGCCUAGGUCGGACUAGCUAGUUGGUGGGGUAAAGGCCUACCAAGGCGACGAUCCGUAACUGGUCUGAGAGGAUGAUCAGUCACACUGGAACUGAGACACGGUCCAGACUCCUACGGGAGGCAGCAGUGGGGAAUAUUGGCCAAUGGGCGAAAGCCUGAUCCAGCCAUGCCGCGUGUGUGAAGAAGGUCUUCGGAUUGUAAAGCACUUUAAGUUGGGAGGAAGGGCAGUACGUUAAUACCUUGCUGUUUUGACGUUACCAACAGAAUAAGCCCCGGCUACCUUCGUG
rnacentral:rRNA from 1 species